GUCCGGCCGGGCCUUUCCUCCUGGGGAGCCGCAUGCCCUUCACUGGGUGUGUCGGGGAACCAGGACUUUUACUUUGAAAAAAUUAGAGUGUUCAAAGCAGGCCUAUGCUCGAAUACAUUAGCAUGGAAUAAUAGAAUAGGACGUGUGGUUCUAUUUUGUUGGUUUCUAGGACCGCCGUAAUGAUUAAUAGGGAUAGUCGGGGGCAUCAGUAUUCAAUUGU
rnacentral:rRNA from 1 species